CGCCGCCUCAGCGAGGCUCCACCGGGUCGGAGGGAGGGCGGUUGGGGGCUCGUCCCGGCGGAGAGGCGUUACGUGUCUGUGACCGAUGCUUCUCUCUUCACAGAGUUUCUCCGCGCUUCCCCGGUGAAGCCCUGGGCACAAGUGCCGUGUCGCUCCCGGAGCGAAAAGUAGAGAGCGCUUGCUGGUACUAGAUUUUUACCCUUCGGUUAAUACUGCAUCACGGUUGCUGUCAUAAUGACCUUCAUCUGGGCAAAGCAGCUGGAGAGUCAAAUUAUAGUGAGACUGCACAAAAAGAUCGGAGCAAGAAAAUGCCAAGUAUUCCUCCCUCACUUUCUUGCCAGGAGCAUUGGCCCAGUGCUUUGCGACACUGCACAGAAAGUUUAACUUCGUGAUUCUCAUUGUACUACCAAAAAUAGUCAUAUGAAAAUCUGACAGAACUUCCUAAGAAGAAUGCAUUUGUUUCCUUUAGAGAUGGCAUCUUCCAGGGCACCAGAGCUAUAAUACAAAUUAAAGUCUUAACAGCGUAAUGGUGUUAAA